rnacentral:rRNA from 1 species
CAGAAGAAGCACCGGCCAACUACGUGCCAGCAGCCGCGGUAAUACGUAGGGUGCGAGCGUUGUCCGGAUUUACUGGGCGUAAAGAGCUCGUAGGCGGUUUGUCACGUCGUCUGUGAAAACCCGAGGCUUAACCUCGGGCCUGCAGGCGAUACGGGCAGACUUGAGUACUGUAGGGGAGACUGGAAUUCCUGGUGUAGCGGUGGAAUGCGCAGAUAUCAGGAGGAACACCGGUGGCGAAGGCGGGUCUCUGGGCAGUAACUGACGCUGAGGAGCGAAAGCGUGGGUAGCGAACAGGAUUAGAUACCCUGGUAGUCCACGCCGUAAACGGUGGGUACUAGGUGUGGGUUUCCUUCCACGGGAUCCGUGCCGUAGCUAACGCAUUAAGUACCCCGCCUGGGGAGUACGGCCGCAAGGCUAAAACUCAAAGGGAAUUGACGGA